UGCACCUGAAGGUUCCCAGUAUGAUGCUCGCCAGUAUGACAGCAAAAUGAGUGAAUUUUUUCAGUACUGAACCUCUUGCUUGUGAUCCAUCAACGCUUCCAAAAUAUCCACCAACCAAGGAGAUGGAUGCCAAACGACGUGGUGACGAAGCACGAAGGACGGAUAUUGUUUCAGCGAUGCAUGGUGACAAAUCCGCUAACUUAAGUGUGGUUGGAAAAUGCCUAGAGAAGGUUUUAGAGGAGUCUCGUUUUGCGAAUAAGUUUGUGCUACCAUAUAAGGAAGUC